rnacentral:tRNA from 3 species
GCGAGAGUGGUGGAACGGUAGACACGCUAGAUUUAGGAUCUAGUGCCUUCGGGCGUGCGGGUUCAAAUCCCGCCUCUCGCA